rnacentral:pre_miRNA from 1 species
AAGAGAGCUCCUUUGGGUCCAAACAGAGGGUGUGGAUAGGGUGAGAUGGAAGCUGCUGAGCUAUGGAUUCCACAACCCCACCCUUUUGAUUAUUGAUCCGGUGGGUUGUGGCUCGUUUUGCAUAUCUCAGGAGCCUCCGUUCCCUGUUUUCUUCUCUUCCCUCCUUUGGAUUGAAGGGAGCUCUCUU